CCAGUAGUCAUAUGCUUGUCUCAAAGAUUAAGCCAUGCAUGUCUAAGCACAAGCCCAAGAAUGGUAAAGCCGCGAAUGGCUCAUUACAACAGCCAUAGUUUACUGGAUCUUACUUUCCUACUUGGAUAACUGUGGUAAUUCUAGAGCUAAUACACGCAUUAAAGCUCUGACCUCGCGGGAGGAGCGCAUUUAUUAGAACAAAACCAAUCGGACCUUCGGGUCCGCCCAUUGGUGAAUCUGAAUAACUUUGCCGAUCGCACGGUCUCGCACCGGCGACGUAUCUUUCAAAUGUCUGCCUUAUCAACUUUAGAUGGUAGUUUACACGCCUACCAUGGUUGUAACGGGUAACGGAGAAUAAGGGUUCGACUCCGGAGAGGGAGCCUGAGAAAUGGCUACCACAUCCAAGGAAGGCAGCAGGCACGCAAAUUACCCACUCCCGGCACGGGGAGGUAGUGACGAAAAAUAACGAGGCGGUUCUCUACGAGGCCCGCCAUCGGAAUGGGUACAAUUUAAAUCCUUUAACGAGGAUCUAUUGGAGGGCAAGUCUGGUGCCAGCAGCCGCGGUAAUUCCAGCUCCAAUAGCGUAUAUUAAAGUUGUUGCGGUUAAAAAGCUCGUAGUUGGAUCUGCGGCCGAGGAAGGCGGUCCCCCGUUGGGCGGUUACUGCUUUUCCUGGCCUAACUCUCUGGUUUUCCUUUGGUGCUCUUCACUGAGUGCCACUGGUGGCCAGAACGUUUACUUUGAAAAAAUUAGAGUGCUCAAAGCAGGCUUACUGCCUGAAUAGUGGUGCAUGGAAUAAUGAAAUAGGAUAUUGGUUCUGUUUUAUUGGUCCGGAGCUAAUAUAAUGAUUGAAGGGGACAGACGGGGGCAUUCGUAUUGCGACGUUAGAGGUGAAAUUCUUGGAUCGUCGCAAGACGAGCUACUGCGAAAGCAUUUGCCAAGAAUGUUUUCAUCAAUCAAGAACGAAAGUCUGAGGUUCGAAGGCGAUCAGAUACCGCCCUAGUUCAGACCGUAAACGAU
rnacentral:rRNA from 1 species